ACAGACAGCCAAACUCCCCACGUUGCAAUAAACCGACAUCAACCCGAGCUUCUGAUCUCCAAAAAUUUCAGACAAAACCCCAAAUCUCCACUUCAAAAAUCCAGUAAUUAGCAAAAGAAUAGAAACCAUCAAUCAAUCAGGCUACUCAUACAGCGCACUCCCAAACGACGUAGCUCUCAAAAUCGCUUCACUUGAGGUACCGGAUCUUUCCUCCUUGAGCUGCUGCUCUCGGGUUUGGCGAGAGAUACGCGGGUCGGAUUGUUUAUGGGAAUCACUCGUCAGAGAAAGAUGGAGUCUUUUGUAUGGAACUGUGAAAGACCCAAACUUCAAGGAUUGGCGGGGACUCUACAUAAAGCAGCAUGAAGAGAAGAAGGCUCAGGUGUCAUCCGUUGUUAACGUGUGUAACAUUGCUCACAAUCCGAGUCGCAUGAGAUUCUUGACUAUUUGCAAGCGAUUGAUGCCUGAAAACGAUGCAGUUUGGAUUCAAAGAUGUUCAAAUGCUGCUCUUGAGACCAAAGCUGAAUGUUCUGCUUACCUUGAUAGGACUACAUUACUGCCUUAACAUCCUUAAAGUGCCGGCUUUCGUAUCUUGGAAGCACUUCGGAACAGUAAGAUAGCUGAAUGUCAGUUUGUGUCCAAUGUGGAAGCCCGGGAGAUGGUUCUACGGCUUCCGCAUCCGAAACGAUUCUCAUUCCCGUUGUGUCUCUCUUGAAGAUCUUGCAAUGGCAAAAGACGAGAGGUGCUGGCAGUCCCUCGAACCAGAAACUCUCACGAGCUUUUGACAGCAGUUCAGAUAUCCGUUGUUAAUUAUUCCACAAGCAAUCUCCAGUCUAGCCAAAACUCAACAUGACUGUGAUUUUGGGCAGCGGGACAACUUUCAGGUGAUGUACAUAUAGUGUUCAUUUCAUAACAUUUUAUAUCUUACGGGACUCGAGUUCGAGUACAUCCGAUACAGAUAUGCCGUUGACGAAGGUUUCUUUAGUAUUUGCAAGUUUUCUGUUAUUUUUGAGGAUCUUUAGAGGGUCGUCUCUCGAUUCUUAGGAUACGAAUACUUAAAUAAAAUUUUCUAGAAUCUAUGAUAUGCAAGCAAAGCUGAAAAUUACCACA